GACGAACGCUGGCGGCGUGCUUAACACAUGCAAGUCGAACGGUGAAGCGCCUUCCUUUUUGGUGGGUGUGGAUGAGUGGCGAACGGGUGAGUAACACGUGAGUAACCUGCCCCCUUCUUCUGGAUAACCGCAUGAAAGUGUGGCUAAUACGGGAUAUUCUGGGUCUGUCGCAUGAUGGGUCUGGGAAAGAUAUUGUUUCGGUGGGGGAUGGGCUCGCGGCCUAUCAGCUUGUUGGUGGGGUGAUGGCCUACCAAGGCGGUGACGGGUAGCCGGCCUGAGAGGGUGGACGGUCACACUGGGACUGAGACACGGCCCAGACUCCUACGGGAGGCAGCAGUGGCGAAUAUUGCACAAUGGGCGCAAGCCUGAUGCAGCGACGCCGCGUGAGGGAUGGAGGCCUUCGGGUUGUGAACCUCUUUCGCCAGUGAAGCAGGCCUGCCUCGUUUGUGGGUGGGUUGACGGUAGCUGGAUAAGAAGCGCCGGCUAACUACGUG
rnacentral:rRNA from 1 species